CCUGCCGGACCUGACUGCUAUCGGAUUGAUACUAAGCCAUGCGAGUCUUUGUAGUAAUACAAGGCAGACGGCUCAGUAACACGUAGUCAACCUACCCUAUGGACAAGAAUAAUCUCGGGAAACUGGGCAUAAUUCUUGAUAGAUCAUAAUGCCUGGAAUGGUUUAUGGUUAAAAUGAUUCGUCGCCAUAGGAUGGGACUGCGGCCUAUCAGCUUGUUGGUGAGGUAAUGGCCCACCAAGGCGAUUACAGGUACGGGCUCUGAGAGGAGAAGCCCGGAGAUGGGUACUGAGACACGGACCCAGGCCCUAUGGGGCGCAGCAGGCGAGAAAACUUUGCAAUGUGCGAAAGCACGACAAGGUUAAUCCGAGUGAUUUCUGCUAAAGAAAUCUUUUGCCAGUCAUAAAACCACUGGUGAAUAAGGGGUGGGCAAGUUCUGGUGUCAGCCGCCGCGGUAAAACCAGCACCUCAAGUGGUCAGGAUGAUUAUUGGGCCUAAAGCAUCCGUAGCCGGCUUUGUAAGUUUUCGGUUAAAUCCAUGUGCUCAACGCAUGGGCUGCCGAAAAUACUGCAUGGCUAGGGAGUGGGAGAGGUAGACGGUACUCAGUAGGAAGGGGUAAAAUCCUUUGAUCUAUUGAUGACCACCUGUGGCGAAGGCGGUCUACCAGAACACGUUCGACGGUGAGGGAUGAAAGCUGGGGGAGCAAACCGGAUUAGAUACCCGGGUAGUCCCAGCUGUAAACGAUGCAGACUCGAUGAUGCAUUGGCAUAAUAGCCAGUGCAGUGUCGCAGGGAAGCCGUUAAGUCUGCCGCCUGGGAAGUACGUACGCAAGUAUGAAACUUAAAGGAAUUGGCGGGGGAGCACCACAAGGGGUGAAGCCUGCGGUUCAAU
rnacentral:rRNA from 1 species